GGAAAGUAUAUUGUUGGUACUAUAAACUAUCAUAUUUCCCAAUUAACUUGCUAGACGUUUGGAGCCUAACUUGUCUUUAACAGUCUCUCUAUGCUAGGAUGGAGAGAACCCUGAAGAAAACUGAAGUCAGUGACCAGGGUCAUUAUAAAAAAUUCUUGCUUUUACAAUAGAUGAAAAGGGUACAUUUGUAAGAGAAGUACUUCUUGAUGAACUAGUUAAGG